rnacentral:snRNA from 14 species
AUACUUACCUGGACGGGGUCAAUGAGUGAUCAAAAAGACCCAUGGCCUAGGUUGGCGACUUCCAUUGCACUUUGGAGGGAUGCCAGCCUAAGGUCGGCCCAAGUGGCUGAGUCUACGUCAUAAUUUGUGGUAGCGGGGUUUGCGUUCGCGCAGCCCCUAA